UACGAACUGUGCGAACGUUUAUUCGGAAUCACUGGGCUUACAGGGUGCGUAGGCGGCUAUUCAGGUCAGGUGUGAAAGCCCCCCGGCUCAACCGGGGGAACUGCGCUUGAAACCGAGUGGCUCGAGUCAGCUAGAGGUACACGGAACUUCCAGUGGAGCGGUGAAAUGUGUUGAUAUUGGAAGGAACACCGGAGGCGAAAGCGGUGUACUGGGGCUGGGUCUGACGCUGAGGCAGAAA
rnacentral:rRNA from 1 species